UACGUAGGGUGCAAGCGUUGUCCGGAAUUAUUGGGCGUAAAGGGCGCGUAGGCGGCUUUGCAAGUGACGGGUGAAAUCCCUCGGCUUAACCGGGGAACUGCCUGUCAAACUGCAUGGCUUGAGACCGGGAGAGGUGGGUGGAAUUCCCAGUGUAGCGGUGAAAUGCGUAGAUAUUGGGAGGAACACCAGUGGCGAAGGCGGCUCACUGGACCGGUACUGACGCUGAGGCGCGAAAGCGUGGGUAGCAAACAGG
rnacentral:rRNA from 1 species